CUUAACUAAAAAAACUUAUGAUUUUUCUGUCAAGUUCCUCUCAUAGUCUCAUUCAUCCGUUUCUCUUCCUCUCACUUAUAAAACUUUUUUCAGAUGUGAAAGGAAACAAGGAUCUCCUAGCCUCACGAACCUGUUGAAAAUUUUCUGGAAAGGUAUCCGGACAUCCCGGAGGGAACCCGACUAGUGCCUAAGUACACCUCCGCAGAAGACAUCCUGGAGAGCCGUCUUUUCACCCCAAUUUAAUCGACGGUGGCCAGUGGAAAUCGAAGGAACCGUUCUGGGAAAUGCGGCUGAAGGAGAAUGCUUCGAUGAAUCUCCUAACUUACUAAAUCGACUCAGUUUUUACAUCAGCAAUAAGGAUUGAAAGGAUUGAAGAUGAAAUUAAAGAAGAAUAAUUCGUUUUAUUUGUUUUACAUUCUUCUCUGAAUUCAUAUUCUUUUUUUCUUUUGGUUUUUACUUCUUCUUAGUUUUUCCUUGUUCUUCAGAUUGUAUGUCAAUGGAAAAAUAUUAAUAAGUAGUUUAUAUAAAAUAUUUAUUUAUUCUGUUUAAUGC